GGCCCAUCACGCGGAGACGAUCGCAAUUUGACUGACGAAGACGCGGAGCGUCGCUUAGAGAGGCGUCGUACCCCCACCCGACACCGCCGCCUAUUUACACGAACGGAGCCACUUGCACGUGCACAAAACUGCAUAGGUGUGCGGGGAUCGCGCGCUGGCUUGUGUGCGGAUAGAACGUGCAACAGGGAACACCCAGAGCCCACCCCUACUCUAACUCCACGGAUACGCGCGAAACGUAACUCCCUGUCCAACCGAGAUGUUGAUGUAUUGUGGAAAUGCAAAUUAACAUUCUUCGCUGAAUCACUGAUCGACUAUGACGCUCGCGACAUUUCUUCGGACGCCAAUCGCGACGAUUAUCGUUAUCUCUAGUCUGGAUAGAUUCCUCGCGGUUCGAAGCGUCAUCAGUAUCUUUUCAGCUUUAAGGAUGACAUGGGAAUAUUGCAGUGCGCUAUACUUCCGUAGAAACACCUCGGAUGCUUCAUAGGCUCGCAUAUCUCCAAAAGAAGUUCAUAAGCAUUGAUACUUGUUGAGUCAAUUUUAGAAUAAGCCCACGUGAAAAUAAGAAUCGUGUAAAAUUACACGAAAGAAUGCAUGUAACUGUUUGUUGUAGUUGGUCGAUGAAAAACUGACUGGUAUCCUAGGGGAGAAUCAUUCAGAAGUACCGAUGGAGAUAGUCAAUGACGAUCGACCGGUAUCGCCGUGACGAACUAUUGCGAAACAACCUUCGAAGCGUGAAUUGAGCCUAAUGCGAAUGGUAACGCUCAAAGGAGCAGCAUGACUUUAGACACGGCAACGGCAACUCUUCGUGCAGAAGGAGGACAGCUCGGACAGACGUCAGUGGCAAACGCAAUCGCGCGCAACAGAAUACGAAGAAACAGCCGUUGAAUCGAUUUUUCGGGCUCAUCUUUCUCCGAGGGCGAAGAUAAAGAAGGAUCGCGAACAAACAGUCUUUUCUAAGCCACCUCACCCCUUUUCAGCGUUCUCUUUUCAAACGGAUCCGGUCUUACAACAUAUCUUUUAUCCGUUCCCCGGUCCAAGCGCCUCUAUCAAUCACCAACGUCUUUCGUUUAGUCUAACAAUAACCGUACUAGGAAAAAAUCAACGUAUUCCACGAAGAUUAUUAAUCUAAUCAUGAAAUGGAAAUUGUAGGAGAAUCACGGGACAAUUCUGAGACAAUUGCGAGACAAUUUUUUUUCCACGGAUCUGCCGUGAACUGAAAGUCUGUUUCAUGGACCAGAAGCUGAAGAAGCUGAAGCUGGAUAAAGCUAAACAAUCUUUUUGGCUGUUUAUCCGUUUGCAUGUUUCACCGAUGCCGUCACGCCGAGUAACCACAUGCUGAACGGUUUUCUAGCCCCGUGAUCCAUUGAUCUCAAGUGAAAUGGAUCAAUGGAUGUACUAGACCCGCCUGAAACCGAGAUCUCUUGGUCCACCACUGCUACGAUCCUCGAAAUCCUUGAUCCGAGCUUCCACAGUUCAUUCGGCUUUCAGAAAAAGCUUUAGUUACGAAUGAUAAAUUCUCGACAACUAUUGUAUGACCAUCGAGCCACGUAAGUAUACAAUUUCUUUUAGCGCAGUCAUUAAAAGGUUUCCAGUAGCUAAAGUGUUAAUACAUGUUUUCAGUAAUUUUUCGUGUAGUCGUCUCGGCUCUUGCAAUUCAUCGUCAACAAUUCUUUUUCGUCUUACAAUAUUCUGUAUAUUUAUCAAAACGACUAUUUUACGGAGUUCAUUGCGUCCAUCAUUAUGGUCUUUCGUGAAGGUCAGGCACGCAAGCUGCCGGAUUAGUUGGUUCGCGCGCAGUUCCCGCGGAACUGUUGCUAGACAAAAGUUACAUCACCGCUCCCGCUAUAAAAAUAGUCGGUGGCAGCCGGCUGAUUGACGGACUCUGGAGCCGAAUCUGAUCGACUCUCUGCGUAUCUUCGAAUGCGAAACGGUAGCACGCGCGUGAAACGAGUACAAUAACGUUUCCUGGCAGCAGUUCAAGUAUCUAUAAAAAUUCACCGAGCGGAGAGAAUUCGUGGGCCCGGGCGCGAAAGGCGCAUGAACCUUCUCUCGCACGGCGGACUAUCGUAAUUUGUGCCUCGAUUCGUAUAUCGUAAUGAAAAGACGCCGCCAGAAUUUAGAAGAGUCGGAAAGAAUCCGACUAGUUGAAAUUCCUAGACGGAAAUAUCUGUUAUCGAACGCGGCACACGAAAAAUACUUGAAAAAUGAAAUUGCACUGCUAGCAUGCUGGUUUGGUUGUCUCGAUGUGCUCUUUUCAAAGAUAUUUAUUUCGUUUUCCAAUCAUUUUAAUGUGUUGAAACGUUUGUAUUACAAGUGCAUCAAGUCCGUAUUCUAAUGAUUAGUCUGCAUAACUUUCCUGCACCAGAAAUGGAUAAAACACUAUACCAAACAAUAUUUUACUGCAUUGUAAAUAUGAUUUUAGAACAGCAUUACUAGUACUUUGUUUCGAAAUGUUUCGUACGCUCUAAUUUAUGUUCUGUUCGUCGAUAGCGAUAAAGAAAAAUUAUUAAAUAUACGGUCAUUUACACAUA